rnacentral:rRNA from 1 species
GACGAGUCUCACGAACGUUAUUCGGAAUUACUGGGCUUAAAGGGUGCGUAGGCGGUGGAGUAAGUCGGAUGUGAAAUACCAUAGCUUAACUAUGGAACUGCACUCGAUACUACUUUGCUAGAGUAAGACAGAGGUGAGUGGAACUGAGGGUGGAGCGGUGAAAUGCGUUGAUAUCUACAGGAACUCCGGUGGCGAAAGCGGCGCGCUGGACCUCUUCUGACGCUGAGGCGCGAAAGCUAGGGGAGCAAACGGG